CUAUACUGCAGUCGAGCGGAUUGUUCCUUCGGGAACAGUUAGCGGCGGACGGGUGAGUAACACGUAGGCAACCUGCCUACAGGAUCGGGAUAACUACCGGAAACGGUAGCUAAGACCGAAUACAAGACUUUGACGCAUGUUGAGAGUUUGGAAACACGGAGCAAUCUGUGACCUGUAGAUGGGCCUGCGGCGCAUUAGCUAGUUGGUGAGGUAACGGCUCACCAAGGCGACGAUGCGUAGCCGACCUGAGAGGGUGAACGGCCACACUGGGACUGAGACACGGCCCAGACUCCUACGGGAGGCAGCAGUAGGGAAUCUUCCGCAAUGGACGCAAGUCUGACGGAGCAACGCCGCGUGAGUGAUGAAGGUUUUCGGAUCGUAAAGCUCUGUUGCCAGGGAAGAAAGGCCAGGAGAGUAACUGCUCUUGGAUUGACGGUACCUGAGAAGAAAGCCCCGGCUAACUACGUGCCAGCAGCCGCGGUAAUACGUAGGGGGCAAGCGUUGUCCGGAAUUAUUGGGCGUAAAGCGCGCGCAGGCGGUCAUUUAAGUUUGGUGUUUAAUUCCGGGGCUCAACCCCGGGUCGCAUCGAAAACUGGGUGACUGGAGUGCGGGAGAGGAAAGUGGAAUUCCACGUGUAGCGGUGAAAUGCGUAGAGAUGUGGAGGAACACCAGUGGCGAAGGCGACUUUCUGGACCGUAACUGACGCUGAGGCGCGAAAGCGUGGGGAGCAAACAGGAUUAGAUACCCUGGUAGUCCACGCCGUANACGAUGAGUGCUAGGUGUCGGGGGUUUCAAUACCCGCGGUGCCGAAGUUAACACAGUAAGCACUCCGCCUGGGGAGUACGCUCGCAAGAGUGAAACUCAGAGGAAUUGACGGGGACCCGCACAAGCAGUGGAGUAUGUGGCUUAAUUCGAAGCAACGCGAAGAACCUUACCAGGUCUUGACAUCCCGAUGAAACAU
rnacentral:rRNA from 1 species